UACGUAGGGUGCGAGCGUUAAUCGGAAUAACUGGGCGUAAAGGGUGCGCAGGCGGUGCGGGAAGACGGAUGUGAAAGCCCCGGGCUUAACCUGGGAAUGGCAUUCGUGACUGGCGCACUAGAAUCUCGCAGAGGGAGGUAGAAUUCCACGUGUAGCAGUGAAAUGCGUAGAGAUGUGGAGGAAUACCAAUGGCGAAGGCAGCCUUCUGGGCGAAGAUUGACGCUGAGGCACGAAAGCGUGGGGAGCAAACAGG
rnacentral:rRNA from 1 species